UACGUAGGGGGCAAGCGUUGUCCGGAUUUAUUGGGCGUAAAGAGCUCGUAGGCGGUUUGGUAAGUCUGGUGUGAAAUCUCCACGCUCAACGUGGAGGGGCCACCCGAUACUGCCAUGACUGGAGUCCGGUAGAGGAGAGUGGAAUUCCUGGUGUAGCGGUGAAAUGCGCAGAUAUCAGGAAGAACACCAAUGGCGAAGGCAGCUCUCUGGGACGGUACUGACGCUGAGACGCGAAAGCGUGGGGAGCGAACAGG
rnacentral:rRNA from 1 species